rnacentral:rRNA from 1 species
AAUAGAUACCCGGGUAGUCCACGCUGUAAACGAUGAUUACUGGUUGUUAGCGAUAUAUAGCUAGUGACUGAGCGAAAGCAUUAAGUAAUCCACCUGGGGAGUACGUCGGCAACGAUGAAACUCAAAGGAAUUGACGGGGGCCCGCACAAGCGGAGGAACAUGUGGUUUAAUUCGAUGAUACGCGAGGAACCUUACCUGGGUUUAAAUGGGGAGUGACAGGUGUCGAAAGAUGCUUUUCCUUCGGGACACUCUUCAAGGUGCUGCAUGGUUGUCGUCAGCUCGUGCCGUGAGGUGUCGGGUUAAGUCCCAUAACGAGCGCAACCCUUGCCGAUAGUUGCCAUCACGUAAAGGUGGGCACUCUAUCGGGACUGCCGGUGUAAACCGUGAGGAAGUGGGGAUGACGUCAAAUCAGCACGGCCCUUACAUCCAGGGCUACACACGUGUUACAAUGGCCAGUACAGAGGGCCGCUACCCCGCGAGGGGAUGCCAAUCUCGAAAGCUGGUCUCAGUUCGGAUUGAAGUCUGGAACCCGACUUCA